rnacentral:lncRNA from 1 species
AGCUACAUCCGUCACCUGACACGGCCCUACCAGGAACAGCCGCGCUCCCGCGGAUUCUGGUGCUGCUCGCGUCCCCGCUCCCCUAUUCCCCUUAUUUUAUUCCUGGCUCCCCUCGUCGAAAGUCUUCCAUUCUUCAAACUAGAUUAUUUAAAAAUGAAAAAGGAAGAAAGGAAAGCGAGGUCAUCUCAUUGCUCUAUCCGCCAAUCAGGAGGCUGAAUGUCAGUUUUGAACUAAAAGCCGCUCCGCUCCUCUUCUAGAUUUGGAAAACAAGCGAAAUUAAACUAAACCGCUGCACGCCUCUGACGCGACAUCUGGACACGGCGCGGCGCUGGCGCUGCCGGAGCUGUCGACCCGGCCUGGCGCCGGACUAGUGUCCCUUUUGAUGAGAAGAAUAAGCCUCAUUCUGAUUCAACAGCAGAGAUCAAAGAAAAGACUUCUGUUUUCUGGCCACCAGAUAUAUGUUAUCUGUGCUUAAAGAAUUGAAAAACACACAUCAAAGGAGAAUUUUCUUGGAAAGAGAGGGUUCAAGCAUCACUGUUAGGUGUGCUGGAAUCCUUUCCCGAGUCAGUACUGCUUUCUAGAAGAAAACCGGGGAGAUCUAUUUGGAAUGUAUCUAACUCCAAAGAAACCAUCAGAGGUAACAGUAGAGACGGGGUUUCACCAUGUUGGCCAGACUGGUCUUGAACUCUCGACCUCGUGAUUCGCCCGCCUCGGCCUCCCAAAGUGCUGGGAUUACAGGUGUGAGACACCACACCCGGCGGAUAGAGAGAAUUUUGACAGGAUGAUUACGGAGCUAGGAAUUUCCUACGAAGCUGGGUGAUAAAAGGACAUUGGACAAAAACACAGAUAGCUUCAUUCUAUACCAGGAUCCAUCACUGAUUAGCUGUAUUAUAUUUGUCUCUACUGUAAUUUGAGGAGAAUGAUACCUGCUUCUCUAUCUUGUUGGGUUUUACAGAUGAUGUAUUGAAAGUUCAAUAAAAUCUAUAAACAAUAGAUCUCUGUGGCUUGAAUGGUCCUCAGAUAUCUUGACCAAUGAUUCUCAAAUGCUUACCAUAGACCAUAAUUUUUCCCCACAUGACACUGCUUCAUAUUUUUAAGUUUUUUUUCACCAAAUAUUUUGUUUUACUAUCUCCAAGCCCUGAAACUUUUUUUCUCCCUCAAACAUGACUUCAACUUUACUAUCCUGGUCCCUUUCUAUUGAAUGUGUUUUGUUUGUGUCUAUAUUUCUUAUAGUGUCUUGAACUGAUUGUACUUACGAUAUGACUUGACUAGCAUAAGAUAGAAUAGGGCAGUCAUCUUCUUUGAUCUAGACUAGAUGCUAUCCUUCUAUUAAUGCAGUUGCUAGUUUUGUAUUUGCUUGCUUUCAAUUUUUUUUUUUCAGAUUUUGGUAACCACUGUUACUUGACUCGUAUCAAACUUAUCAGUAGCUAAAACCCCCAUUUUCCCUCUUCCUGUGCUUAUUUGACUAGUUUUGUUGCGCUUUCUGAAAUGUUUCUCACUUGUUUUUGACCAAAAAAAUAAAAAUAACAAAUGCCA